UUUACAGACUGGGAGGUUUUUUGGGGAGAUAGACGCCACAGUUUUUAAAGCCAUGAUUAACCAUAAAGUUUACAGAAGAGUUCACAUCUUUGAUUAUCAAGCCAUUUGCUUGGACGUUAAGAUUCCUUCUGGACCAGCCUCUCUACCCACACAUAUCCUCCACAACUUGUACUCUCUCAUGAUUUGGUUGUGGGGCAAGUUCUUACU